GUGAGCGCUACACAGACACACAGCUAAAAGUUGUCUGCUUUAACUGCAUAAUUACACAGUAUUUUAAACAUCUGUGUUGCUGAAUCUUUUGCAAUUUGUUCAAUUAAUAUUGGAGAAGUCAAAGAAGCAAGAUGGAGUUGGGAAACUUUAGCCUUUAGCCACACAAACACACGGUGAUUUCUUGUUUGAAAUUACCGAAGCUGAAAAUUUACUAUGGAUCAGAGCAGACAUGGAUCAAGACGGAAUGUCAGCCAGCAGGUUUCGGUGAUAAAAUUGUGGUUAAAAAGUCGCAACUUACCGGAUAUCAGCUGAGCUUGUGACUUCCUACAGCUGCCGUCGACGUCCCCGAGACACUGAGCGUCAACACCCGGCUGGCCGUGGACGUACACUUCCGACUAUCAGCUAACUGUGCAGGAGCGUGGCCUGCGGGCCCGCAGCGAAGCGGGGUGUUGCCAGGACCAGCCUCGAAAUCAGCGACAGGCACGUAGAUUUUUUUUUUCCCCAAGAUGGCGCUGCUGUAGUGGCUGCUGAUGGCAGGAGCUCUGUGCUCUUGUGUCAUCCUUUUGUGUUUCCCUCUUGUUUUCAUGUCUUAUUAUAUUUUUUUGCCUUUUGGUCUUGGACCCUUUGGGACUGUGUGACAAGGGGUGGGACUUUCGUGGCCUCUGUGGUGCUUUUUUGUGGACUUCUGCAUCUGCAUCCCGGGAGCCUUUUGGCCAUGGAGACCAGCUGCUGGGUGUCUGCCACACCGGAGUCUGUUUGGAGGGGCUGGAGGAGAUGCGGAUGAGGGGACAGGGUUGCCGAGCUAGCACUGAGCGCUGGGACGGAGAGGCUUCGCGGUGUCUUGGCUGGGUGAGCAGGUGUCGGACACCUCAGUCACCUUGGACGUAUCAUCGCUCAUCCAUGUGGACUGGACACUGGCCGAGAGUGGAGUCGGCUGUCUUGGUUGCUUUGUUGGGUCUGCUCCUGUCUCUGGCCAUGCUCCCUGCACCCCAGCGGACGAUGACGUGGAUCACCGCAGAAGCCACCACAGUGGAUAUGUUUAUUUAACAUUUUAUUCAUAGCUGUAUGUAGAAGUGUCUGCUUGUAUCUGCUGCUUUAAUGUCUUUAAUGUCCUCUGUGUUCUUUGAUGUUUGAUGUUUCCCUCGUACACACAUGUAAGAGGGAUGUGUUCUAUGGCUAUGAGUUGUUUUUUUCCCUUGGCCUCAGUCUACACCCCCUCUCCAGGGCCCAGGCUAAGACCGAUUUUUUUAUUUUAUUUUAAUCUUCUAUUUUUUUCUCCCCUGAGAGACUUAUUGAAAAAAGUAACAAUAUUGCAACCCUGAAACAGGCUCUCAUGUCAGUGCUUGGUGGUCUGAAGAAUGCCCAGGAGAGCAAGCCCCACACUAACCAAUAAUAAAUAAAUACCUUUUUACCAUUAACGCAACUUCUUGAACAUAAAAAAGCAUGAGAAUGUUUUAUAUUUUGAACGUUAUUUUUAACACUGUGAUUACAAGUGGAAUCAUUCAUUAUUUAUCGUGUUAAGCAAUGUCAGCUCAGAUUUAUCUGAGAGUCAGAUGCAGUCAUCAAAAGAGCCACAUCUGGCUCCUGAGCCACAGCUUCCCUACCCCUGGUAUAAACCAAACAGAGAAAAUAAUAAUAAUAAUAUACACCUCACGGAAUGAAACAGAGCAAAUACAAAACCAGACAAAAAAAUAAGUAAAAUAAUAAAUAAAAAGCUGCGAUGAGGUGGUGACUUGUCCAGGGUGUACACCGCCUUCCGCCCGAUUGUAGCUGAGAUAGGCGCCAAAGCCCCCCACAACCCCAAAAAGGGAAUAAGCGGUAGGAAAUGGAUGGAUGGAAUAAAUAAAAAGCAAAAUGUAAACACUUAUGGCUGUCCAUAUGAUCUUAUUGUUCUAUCUUUAUAUAUUUUUUUCAAUUAGAAUAUAUUUUUACAGUUUUUUUAUCUCGUUGUAAAGAGAAUUCCACAAUUUUACCCCCACCACCGAUGUUUUAAAGUUGUCCUUUAAUAUUGCUGUUUGAAAUGACCUUUUCUUCUAUGCUUUGUAUACUCAGAAGUGAUGACAAACAUUUUUUGUAAAUUUAUAAUAAAUAAAGAAAUGGGUUGUA